rnacentral:rRNA from 1 species
CUUGGUAUGACUUGCAACAACUGCCAGAAGUGAGUUGGUCCACCCGAGCCUCCUUUAUUUUUUGUCUUUAAAAGAAAAAGAAGAAUUUCACCCCCCCUCUCCCUCCCUUCUCAGUUUUUUUUUUGAGCAACUCUCUUCUAGCCCGACCCACCGUGCACAGGAUGUCAGUGCACAAGUAGAGUGUGCGCAGUCCACACAGCCGGCCCAAGCCCGCUGGACCCUCCACCUGCCCUCUCGUCUAGCGUCUUCUCCAGUGAGAGAGAUCCACAGACGCGUGCGUCGGCCGACAUCAGUGAGCAACCACCGCGGCUCUCCUCUCCCCUUGAAGCCUCCCCAGCCACCCAAAUCCUAACCCUCCCGCCGCCGCCAGGUGGGUCUCCCCCUCCGUUUCCUUCUCCACCAAGCGAACCGAGGAGCGCCAGAGCAUCGCCGGAGCAGGCCACCGCGGCCAGCGUGCUCCGCCAGCGUUUUCUUCGUGACCGGGAGCCCCGACUGCACGACUGCUUCCUCUGCUCGGACGACCUCGAGCUCGGACGCCUCCACGCCGUCGAAUUGGUCGACCUCCUCCUCUUCGGCCUGUUCGCCGUCACCGUCCAAAUUCGCCGCCGGCCGACCUCCUCCCGCCCGUUCGGCUACGCCAGCAUCACCAGGGAAGAAGAAAAUGAACACCAUGCCGUCAGAAAAUGCUGAAAGGAGGGGAAGCGUGCUUGAUAAUCCGCAAAAGCAGCUGGAUGAGUCUGUCCUCGAUAUGCAACUUUAUGGAAAAGCUCUAGAUGUGUUUGAGGAUGAUCCUGCUACCUCUGGCAUAUUACACGAUCAUCUGCUAAGAACUAUGGGUACUCCAGUAGCCGACAAGAUUUUAUUUAGUCUGGAUAAGGACAACAAAUUGAAGAAUGGAAUGGAGUUUGAAGGCAGUGAAGAACAGCAUGUUCAGCUCAGCACUACGGAGCGUACUUUUCUGGCGAAGGAUCUUCCAGGGCAAUUGUCAUCGAAGGCUCAAGCUUUAGUCGAAGCACUGGAGGGAAAGCGGUUUGAUUCAUUUAUGGACGCCUUAAGAGAUACAGCAGAGGAAAGUGGAUUGUUAUUUAAGAAGCUUGAUGAAAGACUUGAGCGAUCAAUGCUGCAUUCCCACCACAAGGAUUUGAUAGCACAAGUUUCUUCAGAAACUGAUCCAGUUUCCUUCCUCCCAAAAGUUGCUGCUCUACUUUUUCUCCAGGCAUACAACAAGGCUCUUCAGGCACCUGGAAGUGCUGUUGGUGCUGUCAUCACACUACUGAAGGACAAGCUACCAGCUGCAACCUUCAAGGUUUUAACUGAAUGUCACGCCACCACCGUGAAACUUCUCGCACUACAAGAUGCUGCUACGGGUGAUGAAGACGAUUGCACAUCGGACCGAAUGCUGGAGAAGAAGGAAGACCUAGAAGAGAGGCUGAUGCCAGAACUCAAAUCCCUGGCCCUCGGCACGAGCAAAGAGCAGUGAGCAGGAAACAUUGUGUGCGUGGUGGUGCCCCAUGCCCUCGUGUAUGUAAAUGCACAGAUCUAUCUACCUAUCUAUCCUCCUCGGCACUGGAGCUGUGGCUGUUUCGUGUGAUAGCAGAAUCAACUUCUUAAAUGUUUAACGAGCAACCACAGCAUGUAUGAACUUCUUAAACACCUUGAAACUCUGCUACUUCCUUUCUGAACAAUGACUGCAAGCAAAUGUUUUUCGAGAACCUUUUAUCUUGUGAUCCACUAGACACCCAUUCUUUUCUUCAACUGCCACGCGAAACAUCCAAGUAUGAGAAGGCUGCAAACGCCCGUCACGGCAAGCCUCCAUUCGAACUCCAUUUGAAUGCACGUGGCAUUUUCAGUCAAGGUUUUGGGACUCGUUGGGACCGUUUGCUCAAGGUGCACAUGACACGUUGCGGGAUCACCAUGAGGGCUUUACUCGAGUCAGCACUACCCUUCGAGCAAGAUAUCCCAAGUCCAGAAAUGUGGGUAUCCUUUUUUAUUUUUUGA